rnacentral:rRNA from 1 species
AUUGAACGCUGGCGGCAGGCCUAACACAUGCAAGUCGAGCGAGCGGCGGACGGGUGAGUAAUGUCUGGGGAACUGCCUGAUGGAGGGGGAUAACUACUGGAAAAGGUAGCUAAUACCGCAUACCAUCGGAUGUGCCCAGAUGGGAUUAGCUAGUAGGUGGGGUAACGGCUCACCUAGGCGACGAUCCCUAGCUGGUCUGAGAGGAUGACCAGCCACACUGGAACUGAGACACGGUCCAGACUCCUACGGGAGGCAGCAGUGGGGAAUAGUGCACAAUGGGCGCAAGCCUGAUGCAGCCAUGCCGCGUGUAUGAAGAAGGCCUUCGGGUUGUAAAGUACUUUCAGCGGGGAGGCGUUACCGACAGAAGAAGCACCGGCUAACUCCGUGCCAGCAGCCGCGGUAAUUC